UCCCUGGUAGUCCAGUGGCUAAGACUCCACAAUCGCAAUGUGGAGGGAUCAGGUUCAAUCUCUGGUCAGGGAA
rnacentral:tRNA from 1 species